rnacentral:lncRNA from 10 species
UCACACAAAUCAGCAGGAGGAGCUGGGAUUUGCACACACACUUUUGUUCCCAGACCAAAUGGAGGGUGGAGCUGCUUAUUCUCAUGGCCCAGUAACAAGGUGCAGAUGAACUGGGAAAGGAGGGAGUUUUUAUUUCUGAAACUGGUUACAGAGAGAAGGCUUGGAAAAUAUCACCCAACCAGCUCAAAAUUACGAAGUUUUGCAGAGCUUAUAUACCUUCUAAGCUAUAUGUCUACGUGUCAGCGUGCGUUCAUCUAAAGACGUAAGUGAUUAACUUCUUUUAAUCUAUAAGAUCUGAGUCCUGA